UGUGACAUCUUCAACUGCUUUGUGAAGUCUACUACAAUAUACUGCAAGUAAGAUGAUUUCCUAGCCUUCUGAAGAGAAUAUCUUACUCUGCGUUUGUGACAUACGUGCAUCAUCAUGCUUUCCAGUGUCAGACAUAACGGACACAAUGAUCACAAAUUUACCCAGUGACCACUGCAUGCUAUCCUCGCUGCCAGGGAGGAUGAAGAUCUACACAGCCCAUGAUUCUUACCCUGGGGGAGCUUGGACAAACUUUGAACAUGAAACCAUCAUGACAAUACAAAGGUUUCAAGUUCUGUCCCACAAUUUUCCAGUGAUUCUACAAGGAGCAAAGUCCAUAAGCAAAAGGUUUGAGCUAAAAACAUAACCAUCAGCAAAUAUUUAAGAUGUUUUUA